UGGACACUGGAGAUUUACAGACAGUUUCAAUUUCUGGAGCUUAUCUGAUUUGACUUUGUGGUGUUUUUUUAUGUAUCCCUUUUACUUACAAAGUAAAUUAACGCACGACGAGUCAUCUUGAAGGACGCGUCGGUUUGAAAGAUGAACCAUGGAUUAUUGUUGUGGCUGUGUCUGUCAGUGGUGGUCCACACCAUGGCAGACAAUGAAGACAGCGUGGUCAUGAAUGUUGGCUUGGAGGUCAAGCCACUCAUCAUCAGCAGUCAUGCAACCACCUUGGCAACCUGUGUGGUUUGUACUCCCGACCCCCCUGCUGAGGUAUCAUGGGAUGUACUAUCCCUCGGUGCCAUGGUUACAUCCUCUGAGGUCACAGCCAACUCCAACGAUAAUGGAACAAUCACAGUGACCAAUCACCUGAGGGGUGUGCCUUCCAGCGAAGUGAACCAGAAAAAGGUGCAAUGUUUGGUCAGACACCCCACGCUAGGCCGAGAUAAGGUCAUCAUCUACAUCAUAGACAUUCACUAUCCUCCUCAGUCCGUGAAGAUCACACAGAAGGACGAUGGCUAUCAGUGCGCUGCAGACGCCAACCCUAAACCCGUGUACACAUGGUCAAGAGAAGGCCAUCCCCUGCCCAGUGGGGUGAGAGCAGAAGGCAACAGGCUGUACCUGGACUUCAUUCCUGAGCUGAACGGCCUGUACACCUGCAAGGCCUCAAACUCCUAUGGCACUGCGGAAGGUCACCACACUCUGUAUGCAGUCACUGAGUCUGUGACACCCCUCUUUCAGAUAAUGGUGAUAAUCAUGACUACUGUUGGAGGUAUUGUCAUCUUCGUAACGUUAUUCCGGCAAUGGUAAAUCUGUAAUGUUAACACAAAUGUAACUGAAUGUUCUCUCAUCUUUUCUGCACACAUGACUAGUAUUUCCUGUGAUUCCUUCCAACUGCCAUGGACACCAUGCAAUUAAGAUGCAUGGAAUUAAAGCCAGAUACCAUGUGUGUGCUUGUCUGGAUGUGUGUGUAUUCUGGGAUGUGCAUAAAGUGAGAGAGAAAGAGAGAUCUGCCCACAGGCAUUCUUUUAAAACCUGUUUUGUCUUCCUGUUACAUAAAACUCACCCUGGUCUUGUGCUACCACAUUUACUUUCUACUGGUUGCUCCAUCCCUCAUGCAGAGAUUUGGCUUGGCAUCCAUUCAGACUUCAUGAGGAUAUGAACGUUUGAAUGAAUUAUCCCUACUUUGCAUCAAUUCAAUUCACCUUUAUGUUCUGUACAGAGGUUCUGUACAGAGAGUGCACAAUUUUCCUGCAAGGCUGUGCACCUAAAAUCUCUGACCAUGUUCAGCUCAGCAAUUCCACAAACCAAGCAGCAAUAGGAAACCGCUUCUGUGAAGUUCUAUUAGUUAAUAUCACAUUCAUUCACAAGUCAUGUUAUUUCAUUGUGUAUUUCAGGUAAUAUCAAUAAAAGUGCAUUUGUGUUGUUUUGCUUGAGUAACAAUAAAUCACAUAACAAUAACCCAAUUACAGUUCCACUGAAAAAUAGAUGAAAUGCAUAAAAAUGGUGGCUAUAGCAUUUUGGAAAAGAGCUCUUUAUGAGUCGUUAAUUGGCCUUAGUUCUGAGGUCUGACAGACACCUUAUUCUGCUUAUACUAUAACAAUAGUAUGUUCUGGCUGUAUUCUGUCUCCAAAAACAGACUGUGAUACACAGACAACUUGAACAAACAUAGGCUCCCAAUGAAAUUAUAUUCUGUAAUAUUCUGUGUACUGUAUAAGUGAAGUGGACAUUCUUUAACUUUCACAAAAACACUUCUGGAAUGAACACAGAACAUUUGCUUUUUUACUUAUUAGGAUGGAACAAUGGGGUUCAUCUAAUACUCUCAACAACAAGUCAACAUGAUGUGGUUAAAAUAGAAGUGUUUGGAUUUGCAUGUA